AUUGAACGCUGGCGGCACGCCUAACACAUGCAAGUCGAGCGGCAGCGAGACUAGUAGCAAUACUAGUUGUCGGCGAGCGGCGGACGGGUGAGUAACACGUAGGAAUCUGCCCUUAAGCGGGGGAUAACCAAGGGAAACUUUGGCUAAUACCGCAUAAUCUCGAGAGAGCAAAGCCGCCCGCAAGGGUGGCACUUGAGGAGGAGCCUGCGUCCGAUUAGCUAGUUGGUGGGGUAAUGGCCUACCAAGGCGAUGAUCGGUAACUGGUCUGAGAGGACGACCAGUCACACUGGGACUGAGACACGGCCCAGACUCCUACGGGAGGCAGCAGUGGGGAAUAUUGGACAAUGGGGGCAACCCUGAUCCAGCGAUGCCGCGUGAGUGAAGAAGGCCUUCGGGUCGUAAAGCUCUUUAGGUUGGGAAGAAGGGUAUUGGCUGAAUAAUCCAGUACUUUGACGGUACCGACAGAAUAAGCACCGGCAAACUCUGUGCCAGCCGCCGCUGUAAAAC
rnacentral:rRNA from 1 species